UCUGAACUUGUACGAAUUAG
rnacentral:miRNA from 1 species